AGUACGUUACUGCUUCUGUUUCUCACAGCAGGCACCUGCAACUGUGAGGUUGGGUUAUAUCUGGAAGAGCAAUUACUUUGCUCAACAAAUAGUGGAGUAACUUCCAAUAGGGACGGACAUUUAACAUCCUGACAAUCAACAUCAGAGCAAGAGGAACAAAGAUAAACGUGAUUAUGAACUAACAAAAAUAAAAAUCCAUUUAUGAAGAGUUAGACAUCGGAAGUCUCCAAGAAUACUGAGGUUCAGAUGUCAACCAUUCAUGAUGAAAAUCUGGAGCUAUGUUCGAGUUUGCCACCUGUUUACACUUUGUGAGGGAAUAGUACUGGCCUCGCCCAAUACAAGUACUGUCGCCACAGUGGGAGAACAGAUCAUGUUCUGUGUAAAUCUCCAGGAAGAAGAUAACUAUAUGGUAGAACUUGCUAGCAC